rnacentral:rRNA from 1 species
CGCAACCCUCGCCUUAGUUGCCAGCAUUCAGUUGGGCACUCAGAGGGACUGCCGGUGUCAAACCGGAGGAAGGUGGGAUGACGUCAAGUCCUCAUGGCCUUUAUGUCUAGGGCUACACACGUACUACAAUGGCCGGUACAAAGGGCAGCCACUCAGCGAUGAGGCGCUAAUCCCAUAAAGCCGGUCUCAGUCCGGAUCGCAGUCUGCAACUCGACUGCGUGAAGUUGGAAUCGCUAGUAAUCGUAGAUCAGCAUGCUACGGUGAAUACGUUCCCGGGCCUU